UUUUUUUACUGAGUGUGCUACAUCAGUAUAUUUUAAAUUGCAAUGAAUAAGAUUUUAUCUUCUUUUCUAAUGUAUAGUGCAAUAUUUGAUUAGGCAUUGUAUUUGGCAAUGUUUACCUUACUGUGGUCAUGUGUUAUUCUGACUGUUAAAGUUAUGUCAGCAAACUCAGUACUUUCAAUCUUAAUUUCAUAAGCCCCAUUUUUUGGCAGAUGUUUAACCUGAUCAAAAUACUUUUCUUCAGGCAAAAAGUUCUCUAACAUUCUCACCACAAAACCUUUUAUUUAUUUUAAUGAAAAUAAAACAUCAAUGUAAUUUUAAAAUGUUUUUAUUUUAACCACACCAAACCAGAGAUAAAUUAUCCUUGCUUUCUUUGAAGCUUUGGACCUUUCCCAAAGGUCAGUAAAGUGGUUCAAAUGAGUAGUUUAAACAUAUUCAACAGAUAUUUUAACAUUUGCCAUUACUUCCAUGUUUAUAAUGCAUGAUCUCAUGUAAAUUGGACUAUUUUACAUCAAAAUUAAUAUUUUUAAUAUAUUAUGAUACUGCUAUUCAUGCUGAUUUUGAUGUAUAAUUUACCCAUACAGGAAUCAACCUUUCUAGGGCAUUUCAGAAGUUGCCACAGCUGUCUAAAACUGAACUGUGCAGUUUAAGGAACACAUGGAGGCCUUACAAGGAGCAGUGCAAGUGCAGCAGUGACCUGACCUGAGCUGCCUUUGAUCCCUUCCUGUCCCAAGUGAUCACCUGAACAGAUGGAGCCCUAAGUCAUGGACUAAAUGAACCCUGCUGUCAUUGUGUAGACACUGACCUUCCCUCUGCAACACUGCAUUCUCCAGUGCCCCUGCCUUGAUAUUACUCCUUUCCCAGCCACCAGACAGCCUCAUUGGAGGAGCUGCCUAGUUUUUCCUUUUCACUCCUUCAAAACCCUUGAGGUUAGGAGGUAUUGGAGCUGUGAAUGACAUGUGGUGACCCUGCUCAGUCUGCUCCCAAAGUGACAGCAGUGCAGUCCUGCACAGAGAGAUCCCAGAGUGACAGUACAGCAGUGCUGCCUGGAGAGAUCCCAAAAUUACAGCAGUGCUGCCUGGAGAGAUCCCCAAGUGACAGCAGUGCCGUUCUACCUGGAGAGAAGCUCUGUGCUGAGAGGAUGGAGUGACCUGGCCAUGCAGGGGAGGCAAUGGGCAGCAAGACAGAACAAAGGGUGGGAGUUGCAGUCCACAAGGAACUCCAAAGGGAAUUUGAUGUUGGUUCACAAGAAGAGAUGGAAAAAGUAUUUCUGACUCACUUUGAGGAACAGAGUGUAGCGGAAUGACUCGGGCAGCACAAGCUGGGGCACAUGUGCCUUGGGGCAGUGUUCCACCCUGAUCAGAAGACAUAGGACAUCCCUAUCUGUAUGGGAUAGAAAAGUGGAAAACAUUGCAAUAUGUUUUGGUGAGAAAGAGAAUACAUCUUGAAGAGCAGAAAGGUAUAGAUAACAGAGAACUAGUGUAUACAGCCAUUUCUAAUCUUUAAUAUAUUUUAAUAAUGGAAUAUAGAAUAAACUGCGUAUUUACGCCUAGAUUUCACAUUAUUUACUGUUUCUUCAUUGAGCACAGCAAAUAAUAGAACAACUUCCACAGAAGAAAAUAUAAUUUGAUUUAUAAUGAUUGUGUAUUUUAUUAUAACUUUAUUUUCUUGUAUGAUUCAUUUCUAGCUACAGUAAUGUCUGUUUAUGAUGCUGUUUUAAAGUAAUCAUAAUGUCAUUUUCACUAUCUCUUUUGGAAUGUUUGCUAUCUUAGACAUAUGUUGGGUGACAUUUAAAUGAAUAUUUUAUUUAUGUGUGGUAUGUACAUGGGAAAAAACUGUAAAACAGAUUUUUAAUGUGCAAAUAAACAUUAUACUAUGGCAGUGAUGGGAGGUAUUUCAAGGUUAUACAAUGCGUUGAUACCAUCAGGGCAAACAGAUUUUCAAUAUGGAACAAUUUUAUAUCAGCAUUUUUUCUAAAGAAAGAUACAGAAAAUUGAAUGCUAUACAGUGUACACUCUUUAAAGAUAAGGAAGAUUUAAUAUUAUUCCAUGUAAAAAUUAUCUACUGUAUUCAGAGAAGGAUUUGUGGAUGCUCAGACAUAUUAAAACUCUAUUUCUUUUGAAUAUGAAAAUGUUGAAACAGUAGAGGUGCUACUGCUUUUGAGUAAGCCCUGACAAAUGCUGAAGACUUGCUGAUCUCGUUUCACACUUUCAA